rnacentral:rRNA from 1 species
GUACACGCUGUGACUAGCAUAUCAAUAAGCGGAGGAAAAGAAACUAACAAGGAUUCCCCUAGUAACGGCGAGUGAAGCGGGAAGAGCUCAAAUUUGAAAUCUUAAAGGGUUUCCCUUUACGAAUUGUAGUUUAAAGAAGUGUUUUCUGUUGAGGUUUUGGUAAAAGUUCUUUGGAAUAGGACAUCAUAGAGGGUGAGAAUCCCGUAUUUGACCAUUACUUUUCAACUGUGUGAUACACUUUCAAAGAGUCGGAUUGUUUGGGAAUGCAGUCCAAAAUGGGUGGUAAAUUUCAUCUAAAGCUAAAUAUUGGCGAGAGACCGAUAGCGAACAAGUACCGUGAGGGAAAGAUGAAAAGAACUUUGAAAAGAGAGUUAAACAGUACGUGAAAUUGUCAAAAGGGAAGCGUUUGACACCAGUGUUGUUUUUCUGAAAAUCAAUUAAAGAACUGUUUAUGCUAAGUUGUUUAGACUUUAUCAGCUAACUGUUUAGUUUUGAGCUUUUCUUUAAUGCACUUUUCAGUUAACAAGUCAACAUCAAUUUCUUUUGCUGUAAAAAAGCUUGAGGAAGGUGGCUUGAGAUUCGUCUUAAGUGUUUAUAGCCUCUUGCCUAUGCAGUCGGAGAGAUUGAGGUCUGCAGCGUAGAUCCUUCGGGGCUAAAUGCAUUUGUGCUAAGUUAUAGCAUUUUAUAGACAACUUGUUGACUAUGAUUUGUCUUGUAGCUUACUCGCUUAUGUUAUUUUACCUACGCUUAGGAUGUUGAAGUCAUCGUAUCGCGC